GUGGGGAAUUUUGGACAAUGGGCGAAAGCCUGAUCCAGCAAUGCCGCGUGUGUGAAGAAGGCCUUCGGGUUGUAAAGCACUUUUGGCAGGGAAGAAACAGUGCGUGCUAAUACCAUGCGCGAAUGACGGUACCUGCAGAAUAAGCACCGGCUAACUACGUGCCAGCAGCCGCGGUAAUACGUAGGGUGCAAGCGUUAAUCGGAAUUACUGGGCGUAAAGCGUGCGCAGGCGGUUUUGCAAGACCGAUGUGAAAUCCCCGGGCUCAACCUGGGAACUGCAUUGGUGACUGCAAGGCUAGAGUGUGUCAGAAGGAGGUGGAAUUCCGCGUGUAGCAGUGAAAUGCGUAGAUAUGCGGAGGAACACCGAUGGCGAAGGCAGCCUCCUGGGAUAACACUGACGCUCAUGCACGAAAGCGUGGGGAGCAAACAGGAUUAGAUACCCCAGUAGUCC
rnacentral:rRNA from 1 species